rnacentral:rRNA from 1 species
GAUGAACGCUAGCGGCAGGCCUAAUACAUGCAAGUCGAACGGUGUCUUCGGACAUAGUGGCGCACGGGUGCGUAACACGUAUGCAACCUACCUUACAUUGGGGGAUAGCCUUUCGAAAGGGAGAUUAAUACCGCAUAAGACAGUAGCUGGGCAUCCAGCAGCUGUUAAAGAUUUAUCGAUGUAAGCUGGGCAUGCGUCCAAUUAGCUAGUUGGUGAGGUAACGGCUCACCAAGGCAAUGAUUGGUAGGGGAACUGAGAGGUCAAUCCCCCACACUGGCACUGAGAUACGGGCCAGACUCCUACGGGAGGCAGCAGUAGGGAAUAUUGGGCAAUGGACGCAAGUCUGACCCAGCCAUGCCGCGUGCAGGAUGAAGGCGUUAUGCGUUGUAAACUGCUUUUAUACAGGAAGAAACGACUCUUGCGAGAGGCAUUGACGGUACUGUAUGAAUAAGCACCGGCUAACUCCGUGCCAGCAGCCGCGGUAAGAC